rnacentral:rRNA from 1 species
UACGUAGGGGGCAAGCGUUGUCCGGAUUUAUUGGGCGUAAAGAGCGUGUAGGCGGCUGGGUAGGUCCGUUGUGAAAACUCGAGGCUCAACCUCGAGACGCCGAUGGGAACCCUCCAGCUAGAGUCCGGAAGAGGAGAGUGGAAUUCCUGGUGUAGCGGUGAAAUGCGCAGAUAUCAGGAGGAACACCGGUGGCGAAGGCGGUUCUCUGGGCAUUACCUGACGCUGAGGAGCGAAAGUGUGGGGAGCGAACAGG